GUUAUUGGAACAACACUGACUAAACUUGAGCACCAACACACUUUAAAAUACAAUGCGCACUUCCUAUCUCAUAGCCGUGGAAUUCCCUUGGACUGUUACUCUCUAGAUACCUAAAAGGAAGUUUGUAUUUGAAUAGGAUUUUCGAAAAAUGGGAUGCUAUGGGUAUGUAUUACUCCCUCCGUCCCAAAAUGGAAGGCACACUUUAUUUUACAUCCGGUAUUGGCAUUGUACUUGUGCAAUAUGCCAGUUUAGUCCCGCUCUGUUUGAAAUAAUUUGUUCGAGUGUCAGGUAGUUUCCAUCGGUCUCUGAAUCUGCCUAACUAGAGCAAUCAUGGUCUACGUACAACCAGCAGUUUUUAACAUCAAAAGAGGAACAAGAGUUAAUUGAGCUUCUUGAUUGUAAAUUCAACUAAUAUAGUUUAAUGCUCACACUUGAGGAGGGAAAGUAAUUAAGGGUCUCCUAGCAUUGUUGGGGUCUCCUAUCACUGUUGGAUUCUUAUUUUCAGUUACCUAAAUUACAUUGAUCUGAAAAAAGAGAAGGACAUUUCUGAAUUGAUACUACAUAAGCAUGAGCCAUAUAUGCCUGUAGAGGGAGUAUUUGUAUCACUAAGCAUGCUUUUUUUUCUUGCUCAGAAUUUCAAUAAGCUCUUCUUACGAAUUUUUAUUUUUCCAGUCAUGAGUAAUAUUAUUUAACUUUGAAUGCAGGAGAAGAAAUUUAGCAGCCUGACCGAACUAAUGAAAUUGUUGCAACACUUGGGUUAUUUUCUGGAGAGGAUGGCAAAGAGGAGGCCCAGAAAAUCACCAGUUCUGAACUACAAGAGUACAGACCAUUGACCAAGGAAAAAGAAGAGGAUCAUAUCAAGCGCGCCAUUGAAUAGUCGCUGCUAUCCCAGCCUGGGCCAUAGCUGUCCCGUGAGCCCUCGAUGUCGCUUGAUUGGUGAAGGCCGACAAGGCCACCGCGCCGAUGGGUGUUGUCUUCACCGCUGACGACAAUGUUGUGCAUCCAACGAAGGAAACAAUAGUUCUUCCAGAUCCGGGGCCCUCAAUCAAGGGAAGGACAUGGCCAUAUUUUCUUCUGACCAUGAAGACGACUACUGGGGCUAAAGAUUAUCAGGUCGUAAGAAAAGUUUGAGUAAAUCCAUGGCUUGCAGUAAACUGAUAUCUCCCUGACUUCCUGUACGAAUGUGGUGAGUUACAACAAACUCUAAGGAUCAGCAAAUGAGCACAAUGUGACGAGUUACAUUUUAUUCUCGUGGACCAUGAGGGAAACACAAUGGAAGGACACAUACCAGGCAAACGUAUAGAUCAGUUCAAGGACCUCCUAAAAGAAGGUUCAGUGUAUACCAUAUAGAACUUCAUCUUUGCAGAUGCACGUAAGAAAUACAGGACAACGGAUCAGCAGUAUAGAUUCAAAUUUACUCAGCGCACCAAGGAUGCCAUCUCCACCUCUGAAAAAAGAAAAGGAAGGCCAAAGCAUUGGCUACUACACCAAGCAAAAGCAGAUUAACAAAGAGCUCUUUCGGCGACAGGUAAACACCAGACUUCAAUACAAUUGAAAGAGCUGCAGCAUCGUUGCCAAGAAAAUGGUUCGUGCUGACAUAUUUGUAAAUAAAGCAUAUGAAGAGUGGAUGCAUGAUGUAGGAUAUGAUGGUAAGGCACUCCAGAGAUUCAAGCAUAAUCUGUCGGAACCAGAAGUGAUACAGCAGCAGCUCCAACAAGUAACCAUGCUUCACAUGGUUCGAUCAAUCCACAUAAACAAUUACCGUGGUCUCGAAAUUAAUUUCUGCUGUUCCUACUCUACCUACAACCACAUAUCAGAAUUCACAUAAGGGAAUAUAUUUGUUCACGGUGGAUUAUUUGACAUUGUACUGAUAAUACACACUCAUA